GUGCUCACUUCAGUAGCACAUAUACUAAAAUUGGCAUAAUACGGAGAAGAUUAACAUGGCCACUGUGCGAGGAUGACAUGCAAAUUCAUGGAGUGUUUCAUAUUUUA
rnacentral:snRNA from 1 species